rnacentral:rRNA from 1 species
GACGUAGGGCGCGAGCGUUGUCCGGAUUUAUUGGGCGUAAAGAGCUCGUAGGCGGUUUGUCACGUCUGCUGUGAAAUCCCGAGGCUCAACCUCGGGCCUGCAGUGGGUACGGGCAGACUAGAGUGCGGUAGGGGAGAUUGGAAUUCCUGGUGUAGCGGUGGAAUGCGCAGAUAUCAGGAGGAACACCGAUGGCGAAGGCAGAUCUCUGGGCCGUAACUGACGCUGAGGAGCGAAAGCGUGGGGAGCGAACAGG